GGUGAAUUAUCACUUUGGGGUCCAAACUUUGAUUUGUAUCAAAAUGGUGCCUCAGUUUUAAUUCCGUUUCACCGGUCAAUCACCCGAAAAUUUCUGGCUUGUUUCAUCUGACGUGGACGCCGGAAAGUCGAUGUCAGCCCUUAUUUGCCACGUCAUCUGCGCAGCUGGUGAUGCCACGUCAUUUUAAGUUUGCCACGUGUGUAACCCUACCCCAUGUCAGCAUACCAACAUUGCCACCAAAGCCCUUUUUCAUAUCUCUAACCUCUGUCUUUGUUCCCGAGAGAAGAGGAGAGAAAGGGCAAGCAAAUCUAGGGUUUGUCUUCAAUCUAGCAAGGGAGGCUCAAGGUUGUAGUCAAUGAACGAAAUUGCGGUGACCAACAAGCUUGAAGAAUAGAUGGCAGUAAAUUGGGAGAGAAGACAUGAGGGGGAGGAAGCCCCUGAGUAUUAAUGAUGCUUUGAGACUAAUUGAUGAAAAUGAGAGAGCUGAAGCAAAUACAGAAGCAGGGGGAGAAUAUCACAUAACACCACCAGCAUUGGAUCAUCAGGUGUCACAGUUCAUUACAAUUCCUGUUCAAGCAAUUCAUGAAGCAACACCCUUAGUAGAAUAUUCUAUGAGACAACAACAACA